AAUGCAUUUAACCCUCCCCCUUUUAAAAGUGGCUUGAUCCACCCCUGUACACCAUUGGUAUGAGGGCUCUAAAAUUCUCAGAAGAGAAGGUGUACAGAAAGGAAAUGAUUUGUAACUUACUAGUUUCUACCCAUUAACAAAAUAUAAGCUUAUUAUCAGGUAUAACAAUGAACAAAGUCUGGAUUACCGUUGGAAUACAGAAUUACAGAACAAAUAUGAUGGACAAGGAUAACACUAUAUUCUCCCCUAAACUGGCAUGAAAAUGGUCAGUUAUACUCAACCUACUAGAAUAAAAAACAAUGCAGAUUUCUCGUCACUGGUGACUGGUUUAGCCCCAAGUCAUUCUUGAUUACCCCAUCAAUAUAAAUGGCUGUUAAUAAUUGUGUGUAAAAAAGGGUGUUAAAAAUAUGGCUUAAAAUAUGUAUGUAAAUAGUUAAAAUUGAUCAUCACCAAAUACUAUGAAAAAAAAGUGUUAUGGCAUCUGAACUUUUUUGUAGAAAAUUUACUUUGUAGCUAAAAACAUACAACAUGUAGAGUAGGACCAGAUCAUUAGUAGAACAAAUUGUGUUAGUAAUAAUAGCAAACAAAAUUUCAAAACAAAAAAUCAUGGGUCCACCACCAAAUUAUCUCAAAACUAGAUCAAAUGUAAUACUAAGCAAAAAUUAUGUUUUGUAGAAAUCUAUUCUACAAAAUAUAAGCAAUAAC
rnacentral:lncRNA from 1 species